UUCGGGGGUUUUGGGGUCGUUUUGGGGGGUUAAAACGGGGAAAAAAUGAGAAAUCGGGAUCGGUGAGGCAUCAGGUCUAUCCAUUAAAGUCAAUGGGGAAAUGCGACAACAGGUCUACCCAUAGAAAUGAAUGGGACAAAAGGGCAUCAGGUCUACCCAUUAAAGACAAUUGGGAUUAAAAGAGACAUCAGGUCUACCCAUUAAAGUCAAUGGGGCAAGUACGACAACAGGUCUACCCAUUAAAGUCAAUGGGGCGAAUGGGACAACAGGUCUACCCAUUAAAGUCAAUGGGGCAGAAGCGACAACAGGUCUACCCAUAGACAUGAAUGGGAAUAAAGGACAUCAGGUCUACCCAUUAAAGUCAAUGGG